AUCAAGGCAUUGAUGGAGAAAAGUACCGCGGACGUUCCGGGCCAGUGAGCGGGGGAUGGUGGAAACCCCGUACCAAAGAAUCCGCGGGAAGAACACUCCGGAGCCGCAACCUGAACGCGGAUUCUUCCGCCAGUAAGCGCGACGGGCCGUGACCGUUACAUCACGCGGGCUUGUUGGAGCCUUGAAGAGGUGGCGUCCCAUUGGGAGGCAAAUUAGGUGGCACCGCGGAUAGCAGCUAUUCGUCCUAAAA
rnacentral:ncRNA from 1 species